UCCCUGGAGGACUAGUGGUUAGACCAUGGUGCUCUCACCCCUGCAGCCUGGGUUCAAUUCCUGGCCAGGGAA